GCCUGGGCUUUCAAGGCCAUCUUUGUGACCAGGAGGAAAUAUCAAGAGAGUGGCAUAAUGACCUGCAACAGGAAGCAAAGGCAAAGCACAGCUGAUUUUAUGAUUGAAGAAAACAGGAAAAAGAAUGUGAAAAGAGAAGAAACUCCAAGGAGAGAAGAAUGCAAGCUAUAAGUGGUGUCUAGGAGGGCCAAAAGGAACCAUCAGCACAGAGGUGGCAUUUACAGGCUCAGGAGUGGAGUAG